UUCCAGAGUGUUUGUUGCAUUAAACUGGUUAUAUUUACGCAUCGGUGCGCAUAUAACCUUCCAGAAAGCGAUUUAGAGCUUGAAAUCGGAAUCGAAUCGAAUUGAAAACUUACCAAACACAAAUACACACAAAAUAACACCAAAAACAUAUAAUAACACCAAAGUAAAUUUGUUUUAUUAAUAAUCAUCAUUGUUUUACAUCGAACCACGACUACAGAACACAGUUGUCACACCUACACAUUACACUACUGCAUCAUUAGACGUUCUUGUGCGUAUUGGUUAUUUAUAAUGGAACCAUUGAAUAUUUCCAUUGAAUGUUUUCAUAUGUUGGUUAAUUAGUGGGAAAUUGGGUAUUAACUAAACUGGGUCGUAUAAUCUUUUGGGCCGCAGACCUACUUGACACACACACCCAUCUUAGCUAAGUGGUUCGAUACAUAUCAUCUUGGCCCAUAUUCGUGUGAAACCCAGUCUGAGACGCAUGAGCCCACUCCUUUUAAACGAUAAUUUAUGAUUAGUGAGGAUUUGUAUUUUCUAUUUAUUACUUUCGAACUAUUACGUUAAACUUGUAUAAGAUAAUUUAUGAUUAGUGAGGAUUUGUAUUUUGGCGAUUGAGAGCAUACUAUAUAAACCAUAUAACUUAGUUAUCAAAUGAUUAGUUGCAUUGUCCCCGAGUCGUACAUUGUAGAGUGGAUCAAACACCUUAGCUGCGUGACCCAAUGAUCUCGGCCCAAGACCCUUAAACCCAAACCGAGCCCAAACCCACCUUUUGUGUCACGCGUAUAUGUAUUAGGGGAUACGUAUAAUUCCCUUUUUAUGAACCCUAGCAUUCUCUUUGUUCCUGGAAGUGUCGACAGCCUCUUUCAUUCGAUUGAAGCCUUCUUCUUGGCCCUAACACCCUCCUUUACGUCUUGAAAUCGGGUUAGUAUGUUCGUUACGUGUUCUUGCAAUUUUCUGUCGAGUUUGUGUUAGUAUGUUCUGAGUUAUAUUGUGUUACAAUUCAUACAAAGAAUAUUCUUUUUUGUAGGGUGUGAUUAUAUGAAAUAUUAUUGAUACUUGCCUUCUGUCCUCCCACCUUGUUUCGAAAACAAUAAUAAUAAUUGUUAUAGCCUCUGUUGUCGAAUAUCCCCUAAAAUCUCAACUCAUGUCCACUUGAAUAACGCCUCCACUAGGGUUUUCCUUGUAACCCACUUAUUUUGUUUCAAAUCCCACAAGAAAAAUAGCCUAAACAAUUUCAAUAUUAUCUACUUGUGUUGUCGUGACUUUGCAUGGCUGGAUCAAGUUUAUUUUUUUUGGACGACCCACCAUUAAUGUUUUCGAAACAAUAAAUAAUUGGUGCUCUCAAUCCUUGCUUCCGUGAUGCGGUUGUUUGUAUAGUUGGUUUAUGGUAUGAGCAGUAAUGAAUGUACAUGCGAUGGAGCCAGAUUGUUUAUGUGAAACUUAGAUCUGAAUGAUAAGUCUUGUGCUAAUCGAAUGCUUGUUAUGAUAAUGAUCACAUAAUUUUGGUGAAUGUUAAGAAUCUCAUUAGGUGUUGACUGUGAUGAUCUGAUCCAAAAUAAAUGGUUGAGUUUUUUUUUUUUUUUGAUUACUAAUGAGUAGAGGUUUCAUAAAUAUUUGGAAAGUUGUUUUGGGAUGUAACUGAUUGAAUUACAUUACUAAUUGCAUAACUGAAUUGAUCAAAUCAUGGGCUUGUAAUUGGUGGGGGUUACGUAUUGACCAAAUAACUAAGUCAGCCGCACACUUAGAACUGGGCCGAAAGGAAGUGUUGGGCCAUAAUCCAAAACCUGAUCGCACACACUAACACUAGUCGCACACUUUCAGUUGAAUCGCACACUCUUGGGAUGUCGCAUAGUCCUGUGGGCUUCGCGUUGUUGGGCCUGCUAAGACAUGGGCCGCACAACCCAGCCGCACAGCUUCUGUUGGACCCUUAAACCAAUUGGGCCGCACGCCGUAUAGAAUAAUGUGAUUAGGUGGUGAAACUGUUACUAGAAUCAUAAACUCAUGCUAGGGAUAUGUAUGUGACAUGAAUGCCAUCAAUGUGCUAUGUGAUGAUUUCCAUUUCGUGUAAGUUAUGGGGUGUUAAUAACUGUUACAUAUUUUAUAAAACAUGGACUUGCAAUGUGAACUUGUAUGAGGAAUAAUAACCAUUAUAUGUAUAUGAGGACAUUGUAAUGAUAAGUUAAGUGAAUAACUGGUAUGACUUGUGUGACGGUGUGUGUAAUCCUUGUAUGUUACUAGUGUGGUAUGUGUAGAGAAUACGUGCUUUGUGUGAAUACGAAACUGACUGUUAUUAGUAAGCACAUUAGGGUUUGGUUGACCAACUUGGAACGGGUAACAUAACAUAACAUACCGAGCAACCUAAGGUGAGUUCAUUACUUUUGAGCAUGUGUCUCGGUGGUUGGGACAGUCAGUGGGUAUCCCGGGGAGGGAUAGAUCUUUUGGGUAAAAACUGGGAUGUUGGAUAAUAUUCUCACCCUAUCACUCUUAAGUCCCAUCUUUUGUUACCGGGGAGGUAACAGGGUAUUAGUUGGUAGCGCUACUUAGGUUUGGCACCCUCACACCGUACCGGGGAUGACGGUUGUGAACUAAUGACCCAGUCGGGCCCAGUGCUUUGAUAGGAGCACUGGGGAACAGGCAAAACAUACAUCAGGAGCCGUCUUGUUUAGUAUCGAGAUAUUAUCAACAUUACUUUCGGAAUUAAAUUCAGUGGAUUAACUAAACACUUGGUAACCAACGUUUUCAUAAAACUAUGGACUCCCCAACGUUGUCUGAUACACUUGUUGCAUGAUCGCAGGUCGUUAGAUGUCUUGGAAUUGGAACUUGCUGUCUGGAGUAGCUGGAGUGGUCAUGGGUCGACUGGAAGGAUUCAUGUGUUUGAAUUAUUGAUACUAUACAUUGAUUUCGAAACAGUUUAACUUUAGUUUAUUAAUUGCUUCCGCUGAACAUGUUGGUUUUCAUUUAAACUUGUCGAUGGUAUUUUAUUAAUGAUUGAGAACGUUAUU
rnacentral:lncRNA from 1 species